rnacentral:rRNA from 1 species
CGCUGGCGGCGUGCCUAACACAUGCACGUCGAGCGAGGGAGGGGCUUCGGCCGGAACCGAGCGGCGGACGGGUGAGUAACGCGUGAAUGAUCUGUCCCUCACAGGGGAAUAACACUUGGAAACAGGUGCUAAUACCGCAUAAGACCACGGUGCUGCAUGGCACUGAGGUAAAAAGGAGCGAUCCGGUGAGGGGUGAGUUCGCGUCCGAUUAGCCAGUUGGCGGGGUAAGAGCCCACCAAAGCGACGAUCGGUAGCCGACCUGAGAGGGUGAUCGGCCACACUGGAACUGAGACACGGUCCAGACUCCUACGGGAGGCAGCAGUGGGGAAUAUUGGGCAAUGGGCGAAAGCCUGACCCAGCAACGCCGCGUGAGGGAAGAAGGUUUUCGGAUUGUAAACCUCUAUCGCAGGGGACGAAGGAAGUGACGGUACCCUGCAAGGAAGCCCCGGCUAACUACGUGCCAGCCGCUGC